UAUAUACUCCCUCCGUUCCGAAUUACUUGUCUUAGAUUUGUCUAGAUACAUCUAUCUAGACAAAUCUAAGACAAGUAAUUCAGAACGGAGGGAGUAUUAG
rnacentral:pre_miRNA from 1 species